CACGUAGGGGGCAAGCGUUGUCCGGAUUUAUUGGGCGUAAAGAGCUCGUAGGCGGGUCGGUAAGUCGGGUGUGAAACCUCCAGGCUCAACCUGGAGACGCCACCCGAUACUGCUGUGACUAGAGUCCGGUAGGGGAGCGUGGAAUUCCUGGUGUAGCGGUGGAAUGCGCAGAUAUCAGGAGGAACACCGGUGGCGAAGGCGGUUCUCUGGGCAUUACCUGACGCUGAGGAGCGAAAGCAUGGGGAGCGAACAGG
rnacentral:rRNA from 1 species